UACGUAGGGUCCGAGCGUUGUCCGGAAUUAUUGGGCGUAAAGAGCUCGUAGGCGGUUUGUCGCGUCUGCUGUGAAAUCCCGAGGCUCAACCUCGGGUCUGCAGUGGGUACGGGCAGACUGGAGUGUGGUAGGGGAGACUGGAAUUCCUGGUGUAGCGGUGAAAUGCGCAGAUAUCAGGAGGAACACCGAUGGCGAAGGCAGGUCUCUGGGCCACUACUGACGCUGAGAAGCGAAAGCAUGGGGAGCGAACAGG
rnacentral:rRNA from 1 species